AUGGAUCUGGCAACGUGCAGCACUCACAGGAUUCAGGAAGGAAGAGUAGCUGAAGAGCAACGUGCCCAGAGUACUGAUGGAAAAUCUAACCAAAACCAGAGUUCAUAUGGAAAUCUAAGGAACCUUAAUAUGACACUGAUCUUGUCACCCAGCACAAGGUAAAUACUACAGAGAACAUCGUGAAUUUGAGAAGAAAAGCUCUUGAUGGAAAAAAGAGAUAAGUUUAGUACAAAAGAAAAUGAACAGCAAUUUAAAUUGCAGCAGACUAUGAAAAAAGAGUGUGCUUAAUUAAAAAACUGCUUUCUCAUGUAGGAGCAUGCUGCCUGGGCUGUGUAAACAUGCUGUCUGCCUAAUCAAGGCUUACAAAGAGCUGGUUAGCAGUGAGAUAAAGUAAAAACCAAGGCAAUGUGGCAUUCUUUGAUUUUGUAAAUUGCCUCCUACUUCAUCUUUUUUGUUCCCAGGCAAUGAGCAGCCUCACACUCCUUCACAGACUUGCAGUAAAUUGGUCUGUUCAUUUAGGAACUGUAAAACAAUAAGAUAGAGGUGAAUCCGGAGGUCUGAGAGCUUCAUCAAAUAAUGAUAACUUGGAAGUUUUGUAGUGCUAUGGGUCCAAAACUCCAUGAACUUUUUCUAAUGAAUUGCAAAUUGAGUCUUUGCUGAAUGGAAAGGGGAGAGCAAGGUACCCUGAACGUUGUUCCUGAUCUGCAGGGGAAGAAAAAGGGAGAUGAACUUCUACACUGUACAUUCAGACUCCUACAGAGACCUAUAAAGCCAAUUUGAGAGCAAAAACCUCACCUGAACGGCCUCAUCAGUUGUUGGAAUUGACUUUGACAGACUUCUGCUCAGGAUAAGAGGAUCCUCAUGGUACAGUGUAUUCAGAUGCUGAAUCAAUCAGACUAGGGAAAACAAAAGGAUUAAACUCCAGAACACAAAGUCACAGCUCAGGCAUGUCUCAGCAUAUUUUCCUAUGACAUAAAAACUGUCCAAGAAAUCUGAAGAGCAUAAACAUCAGUCAGGUGCUAUUCCCUAGUUUUGUACCUUUCCUGUUUCUCUAAUUGGUAUGCCUGUAUGCCAUUGAUGCUGCAGACAAUGUUUGCAGUUUCCAAUUUAUAGAUACUGUUAGGUAAUAAAGAUUUAGAUUAUGCACA
rnacentral:lncRNA from 1 species